ACUUUGGAGUUCCCCGCGCUCAACUCUUCCCUCAGUUUUCAAUUCCCUCCGUCGUCGUCGAACUCAGAGCUUGCCCGGUCCUGCGCCGCCGUCGAACUCAGCUUGCUCGGAUCCGCCGUCACUCUCCUCGCCGGUGAGUGUCUUUCCUCGCUUCCUCGCCACCCGUCGCGUCCUGUACGUUCUCCGCGCUGAACCAUGACUGACAUAGUCGCUGAAAACUCAGCUAGCUCGGCCGGUGGUUCCAAGAAAGAACGGUCUGUUCUUCGGUGCUUGCUCGGCCGUCAAUCUAAUCGCCACAACAACUGCCUGCAGGAAUCUAUCAUCGUGCUUGUCUGGAUUUCAACAACUGCAUUAAGGCUUCUAUUUUGUUGUUGACACCAGCAUUUGCAAGGCUUAUUUUGCGACUUAAUCUUCAGCCUCCUGAAUUUGUUACUGGUACUUAUUAUUUUGAGUUGGUCUUAUGAAGUAUUACAUUUACAUUUACUCUCUUUCGCCUAGUUACAAUCAGAUCUGUCUGUUCUUUUAGACUUUGAGUUAGCGCUCCCUAGUCAAAUCCUAUUCUGCUAUGGUUCCAGCUAGCCUCUUGCUUGUAGGGGAUAAGAAAAGG